GACGAACGCUGGCGGCGUGCUUAACACAUGCAAGUCGAACGGUGAAGCGCCUUCCUUUUUGGUGGGUGUGGAUGAGUGGCGAACGGGUGAGUAACACGUGAGUAACCUGCCCACUUCUUCUGGAUAACCGCAUGAAAGUGUGGCUAAUACGGGAUAUUCUGGGUCUGUCGCAUGAUGGGUCUGGGAAAGAUAUUGUUUCGGUGGGGGAUGGGCUCGCGGCCUAUCAGCUUGUUGGUGGGGUGAUGGCCUACCAAGGCGGUGACGGGUAGCCGGCCUGAGAGGGUGGACGGUCACACGGGGACUGAGACACGGCCCAGACUCCUACGGGAGGCAGCAGUGGGGAAUAUUGCACAAUGGGCGCAAGCCUGAUGCAGCGACGCCGCGUGAGGGAUGGAGGCCUUCGGGUUGUGAACCUCUUUCGCCAGUGAAGCAGGCCUGCCUCGUUUGUGGGUGGGUUGACGGUAGCUGGAUAAGAAGCGCCGGCUAACUACGUG
rnacentral:rRNA from 1 species